rnacentral:rRNA from 1 species
AGUGAAGCGGCAACAGCUCAAAUUUGAAAUCUGGCUCCGGCCCGAGUUGUAAUUUGCAGAGGAAGCUUCUGGUGAUAUACCGUCUAAGUCCCCUGGAACGGGGCGCCACAGUGGGUGAGAGCCCCAUGUGACGGAUGUAGAUCCUGUGUGAAGCUCCUUCGACGAGUCGAGUAGUUUGGGAAUGCUGCUCAAAAUGGGAGGUAAAUUCCUUCUAAAGCUAAAUAUUGGCCAGAGACCGAUAGCGCACAAGUAGAGUGAUCGAAAGAUGAAAAGCACUUUGAAAAGAGGGUUAAACAGCACGUGAAAUUGUUGAAAGGGAAGCGCUUGUGACCAGACUUGCGCUGGGCUGAUCAUCCGGUGUUCUCACCGGUGCACUCGGCCCAGCUCAGGCCAGCAUCGGUUUUGGUGGAGGGAUAAAGGCGCAGGGAAUGUAGCUCCCCCGGGAGUGUUAUAGCCCAGCGUGCAAUACCUCCGCUGGGACCGAGGUUCGCGCAUCUGCAAGGAUGCUGGCGUAAUGGUCAUCAGCGACCCGUCUUGAAACACGGACCAAGGAGUCAAGGUUUUGCGCGAGUGUUUGGGUGUCAAACCCGCACGCGUAAUGAAAGUGAACGUAGGUGAGAGCUUCGGCGCAUCAUCGACCGAUCCUGAUGUAUUCGGAUGGAUUUGAGUAGGAGCGUUAAGCCUUGGACCCGAAAGAUGGUGAACUAUGCUUGGAUAGGGUGAAGCCAGAGGAAACUCUGGUGGAGGCUCGCAGCGGUUCUGACGUGCAAAUCGAUCGUCAAAUCUGAGCAUGGGGGCGAAAGACUAAUCGAACCAUCUAGUAGCUGGUUACCGCCGAAGUUUCCCUCAGGAUAGCAGUGUUGUUCUUCAGUUUUAUGAGGUAAAGCGAAUGAUUAGGGACUCGGGGGCGCUUUAUAGCCUUCAUCCAUUCUCAAACUUUAAAUAUGUAAGAAGCUCUUGUUGCUUAAUUGAACGUGAGCAUU